rnacentral:rRNA from 1 species
CCUACGGGUGGCAGCAGUGGGGAAUAUUGCACAAUGGGCGCAAGCCUGAUGCAGCCAUGCCGCGUGUGUGAAGAAGGCCUUCGGGUUGUAGAGCACUUUCAGCGGGGAGGAAGGCGGUGAGGUUAAUAACCUCAUCGAUUGACGUUACCCGCAGAAGAAGCACCGGCUAACUCCGUGCCAGCAGCCGCGGUAAUACGGAGGGUGCAAGCGUUAAUCGGAAUUACUGGGCGUAAAGCGCACGCAGGCGGUCUGUCAAGUCGGAUGUGAAAUCCCCGGGCUCAACCUGGGAACUGCAUUCGAAACUGGCAGGCUAGAGUCUUGUAGAGGGGGGUAGAAUUCCAGGUGUAGCGGUGAAAUGCGUAGAGAUCUGGAGGAAUACCGGUGGCGAAGGCGGCCCCCUGGACAAAGACUGACGCUCAGGUGCGAAAGCGUGGGGAGCAAACAGGAUUAGAUACCCGAGUAGUC